rnacentral:lncRNA from 1 species
GGACUGAAAAAGCCAUAGUAGAGACAAGGUGGAAUGAAAUAGUUGUCCCCGAAAACUUGCUUUGCAGUGAAGCCAUUUAUAUCUACUUUCUGAAUAUUUAUUUCGAGGGGUCUGCCUCCUUCUCUAUCGGCCUUCAAAGUGCAGGAUAUUUGCUGUUAGCUAUGGGAGUUUAAUCGUUUAUAAAAGAAAAUAUGUUAGAAGCAAGCCUUGCAUAGAUUUACUUAUCUCUCUGGCGUUUUUCCAGCGCUCAUUAUGCCGUAAUGUGCAUAUGGGACAUGAGCAGGGUCCAUAAGAUUUUCAAUCAGAAUUUCGUACUUGAAAAAAGUCAAUAUAUAUAUAGCAAUUAACUCUAGUAUUAGAAAACAAAGCCCUAUUUUUGGAAGUCUGAACAUGAGACGAGAGUGAUAAACAUGGGACAGAGCUAGUAGUAUUUAUAAUCAUUGAUGUCAUGAUUAAUUGAUCGCAACUAACGAAACCUUCGGUUAAGAUAAUAAACAGUACGUAUUCCAUUUUGUGACAAAAUCAGGGUCAUUCUUUCGCUUUUUUUCCCGGGACUUUUUUGUUAUAAUUCUCUUGUUCACAUAAUCAUUAGGUACCAUGCAAAGAAAAUCAGAAGGUGAGCAUAUUAUCCGGAAAGAUUAUGAUACCCGUAAGGUAUGUCCCUGGCUAUCAUC